rnacentral:rRNA from 1 species
GACGAACGCUGGCGGCGUGCUUAACACAUGCAAGUCGAACGAAAAGAGGGAAAGAGCUUGCUCUUUCCGGAAUUGAGUGGCAAACGGGUGAGUAACACGUAAACAACCUGCCUUCAGGAUGGGGACAACAGACGGAAACGACUGCUAAUACCGAAUAAGUUCCAAGGGCCGCAUGGCCCAUGGAAGAAAAGGUGGCCUCUACCUGUAAGCUAUCGCCUGAAGAGGGGUUUGCGUCUGAUUAGCUGGUUGGAGGGGUAACGGCCCACCAAGGCGACGAUCAGUAGCCGGUCUGAGAGGAUGAACGGCCACACUGGGACUGAGACACGGUCCAGACUCCUACGGGAGGCAGCAGUGGGGAAUCUUCCGCAAUGGGCGAAAGCCUGACAGAGCAACGCCGCGUGAGUGAUGACGGCCUUCGGGUUGUAAAACUCUGUGAUCCGGGACGAAAAGGCAGAGUGCGAAGAACAAACUGCAUUGACGGUACCGGAAAAGCAAGCCACGGCUAACUACGUG